CGAGGACCGGCGCGAGGACGCGGCGGCCGUCUACAACAAGGCCACCGCGUCCCUCAACCUGCGUUCGCACACGCAGGUCCUCGA
rnacentral:tRNA from 1 species